UACAGAGGUGGCUAGCGUUGUUCGGAAUUACUGGGCGUAAAGGGCGCGUAGGCGGUUCGUUAAGUCCUGUGUGAAAUCCCCCGGCUCAACUGGGGAACUGCACAGGAAACUAGCGGGCUUGAGUUCGGGAGAGGGAAGCGGAAUUCCGGGUGUAGCGGUGAAAUGCGUAGAUAUCCGGAGGAACACCGGUGGCGAAGGCGGCUUCCUGGACCGACACUGACGCUGAGGCGCGAAAGCUAGGGGAGCAAACGGG
rnacentral:rRNA from 1 species